rnacentral:tRNA from 1 species
GGUCCUUUAGCUCAGGGGUAGAGCAGCGCACUGUCGAUGCGUUGGUCGCGGGUUCGAGUCCCGCAAGGAUCGCCA